GUUUUUCACACUAUAAAUUGAUCUGAUUAAUUUCUAUUUGUGACAUAUCAAAAAGAGAAAAUAUGACUAAAAUUCUCAAGAUUGUACAUUUUAUGAUUUUAUUACUUUUCUAAUUUUUUGUUUCAAAGAACAAUAGCCAAAGAAGUGAUUGUAAAACAGGUGCAGAUUGUCUAAAAAUAUUUACUUUUUAGGGAAGGGAAAUACGCUUUUAAAAUUGAAGUGCAUUGACAACAAAUGUAAACCUUGGUGUAAAGAGUAGACAAACUGAAUACAUGAAAAAAUACCAUGUGAAAGAGAUGCAGAUUGUCGUAAAGGGUUUGAUUUAUGGAAGAGAAUAAACAUGCCUAAAAAAUAUUGGCAUUGCGUUUUCAAAAGAUGUAUGUACCUGGAAUGAGUUCUUAAAAUCAUCCUAAGAAUCCCCAAGGGCCCUUCAUUUUAUUGUGUUGUUCCUAGUCAUUAUUUCCAUAGUUAUUAAAUAUGAUAUAUGUAAAAUUAGAUGUAUUAUGAUUAAAAAAGAGGGAUUUUGAAA